UACAGGGGGGGCAAGCGUUGUUCGGAAUUACUGGGCGUAAAGGGCUCGUAGGCGGCCAACUAAGUCCGACGUGAAAUCCCCAGGCUUAACCUGGGAACUGCGUCGGAUACUGGAUGGCUUGAAUUCGGGAGAGGGAUGCAGAAUUCCAGGUGUAGCGGUGAAAUGCGUAGAUAUCUGGAGGAACACCGGUGGCGAAGGCGGCAUCCUGGACCGGCAUUGACGCUGAGGCGCGAAAGCCAGGGGAGCAAACGGG
rnacentral:rRNA from 1 species